AAGUCGUAACAAGGUUUCCGUAGGUGCACGUAUCCAAACGUUUAAAAAAAAAAGAAAACCCCCCCUGUGAACAUUUGCUUGCUCUUGCAGCCCGCCUGGCUAGAAAAUCCUGGUAAAUCAUCGCUGAACAAGUUUGAUUCAGGGACCGUCUGGUUGGGUGAGAGCCAUAGCUGCAAUCGAGAGAUCGUGGCAUAACCAACUCCCCUGCGUACGUGAAAGUGAUGUAUGUACCGCUACCAGUCGAAACGACCAACCUGCGCAACCAUUACGUGUUGAGCCCGUGGGCGUCGUAAACCGAAAUACUUGAACAACUGUUAACAAUGGAUAUCUUGGUUCUC
rnacentral:misc_RNA from 1 species